GGUGAACGCUGGCGGCGUGCUUAAGACAUGCAAGUCGAACGGCAGUCUUCGGACUGUAGUGGCGCACGGGUGAGUAACGCGUAACUGACCUACCCCAAAGUCGCGGAUAACGAUUCGAAAGAAUCGCUAAUACGUGAUGUGCUGUCAGAUUGUGUUCUGCCAGUAAAGAUUGAUUGCUUUGGGAUGGGGUUGCGGUCCAUCAGCUAGUUGGUGGGGUAAAGGCCCACCAAGGCGACGACGGAUAGCCGGCCUGAGAGGGUGGCCGGCCACAGGGGCACUGAGACACGGGUCCCACCCCUACGGGAGGCAGCAGUUAGGAAUCUUCCACAAUGGGCGAAAGCCUGAUGGAGCGACGCCGCGUGAGGGAUGAAGGUCUUCGGAUCGUAAACCUCUGAAUCAGGGACGAAAGACACUUCGGUGGGAUGACGGUACCUGAGUAAUAGCACCGGCUAACUCCGUGCCAGCAGCCGCAGUAAAAC
rnacentral:rRNA from 1 species